UGGGGAAUUUUGGACAAUGGGCGCAAGCCUGAUCCAGCCAUUCCGCGUGAGUGAAGAAGGCCUUCGGGUUGUAAAGCUCUUUCGCAAGGGAAGAAACGAUAGUGACGAAUAAUCACUGUUAAUGACGGUACCUUGAUAAGAAGCACCGGCUAACUACGUGCCAGCAGCCGCGGUAAUACGUAGGGUGCGAGCGUUAAUCGGAAUUACUGGGCGUAAAGCGUGCGCAGGCUGUUUUGUAAGUCAGAUGUGAAAUCCCCGAGCUCAACUUGGGAACUGCGUUUGAAACUACAAGACUAGAAUAUGUCAGAGGGGGGUAGAAUUCCACGUGUAGCAGUGAAAUGCGUAGAGAUGUGGAGGAAUAUCAAUGGCGAAGGCAGCCUCCUGGGCCAAUACUGACGCUCAUGCACGAAAGCGUGGGGAGCAAACAGGAUUAGAUACCCUGGUAGUCCCUGAGCGGGCUGGCAAGGCGCAU
rnacentral:rRNA from 1 species